UUUUUUUUAGCAUGAAUAAGAUUAUUGUACUCGAGAAACAGGUCUUUGAUUUCAUGAUAAGAGAACAGAAAUCUUAGUUGUGGUUUUUUUUUUUUUUUUUUAACUGAUUCUACUGUAAUUGAAAUUAUUCAAAAAAGAAAAAAAGAAGCACAACUAAGAUUAAAGUUCAAUUCAAGACAAUUGAACAGUCUAAACUACCACGACAGGAAACCCAAAAUCCUAACAAGUAACCAGAACUGAAGAGACCACCAUUUUGCUAACUUCACUGUAAUCAAAACUUGUUUCUGUACCAGUACACACCUUUGCUCUGAUCGCGAUCAUCUGGCUCGACGUAAACACACUCCUUUGCCUCCCUCCACAUUGCCUUGUAGAAAGGAGUCCCAUCGAAUUGGUAGUAUUCUCCCAAAAUUGGUUUUAUGGCUUUUGUUGCCUCCAUUGCAUUAUAAUGUGGCAUUGUUGAGAACAAAUGGUGUGCUACAUGAGUGUCCGUUAUAUUAUGGAAGACCUUGUUCAAGAUUCCAUAAUCUCUAUCGACAGUUGCUAGAGCUCCUCUUAGCCAAUCCCAUUCAGAAGAAUCAUAAUGUGGCAAUGAAGGAUGAGUAUGCUGCAGGUAUGUGAUCAUCACAAGAAAUGCAUUCACAACCAACAAUGGCACUCCAUAAACACAAACAACCCAAGCAAGCCCCUUUGCUACAGCAAGACUGUAGAGACCAUAAGUGACUGCAAGAACACCAGCAUCAGAUAUACAUAUCUCAGUCCGCUCACGAUCAGUGUAGAUAGGGCCGUAUGGGUCAUAGUGGCAGGCAAAACGAUUAUAAAGCCUGCCUGAAACAUUGAAUGCCAGGUAUAGGGGCCAGCCAAGGGUAAGAGUGAUGAUAAGUGUAAGGACACGGCCUAGUGGGUUGUUAAGGUAUUUGGAGAACCAACGGAUGUUGGAUUUCUUCUUUGGGACAAAUACUUCAUCUCUUUCAAGGGAAGCUGUGUUAGAGUGAUGACGGCGG
rnacentral:misc_RNA from 1 species